ACUUCGGGGGACGAUACGGCGUCGAGCGGCGGACGGGUGAGUAAUGCCUAGGAAAUUGCCCUGAUGUGGGGGAUAACCAUUGGAAACGAUGGCUAAUACCGCAUAAUACCUACGGGUCAAAGAGGGGGACCUUCGGGCCUCUCGCGUCAGGAUAUGCCUAGGUGGGAUUAGCUAGUUGGUGAGGUAAUGGCUCACCAAGGCGACGAUCCCUAGCUGGUCUGAGAGGAUGAUCAGCCACACUGGAACUGAGACACGGUCCAGACUCCUACGGGAGGCAGCAGUGGGGAAUAUUGCACAAUGGGCGCAAGCCUGAUGCAGCCAUGCCGCGUGUGUGAAGAAGGCCUUCGGGUUGUAAAGCACUUUCAGUCGUGAGGAAGGUGGUGUAGUUAAUAGCUGCAUUAUUUGACGUUAGCGACAGAAGAAGCACCGGCUAACUCCGUGCCAGCAGCCGCGGUAAUACGGAGGGUGCGAGCGUUAAUCGGAAUUACUGGGCGUAAAGCGCAUGCAGGUGGUUUGUUAAGUCAGAUGUGAAAGCCCGGGGCUCAACCUCGGAAUAGCAUUUGAAACUGGCAGACUAGAGUACUGUAGAGGGGGGUAGAAUUUCAGGUGUAGCGGUGAAAUGCGUAGAGAUCUGAAGGAAUACCGGUGGCGAAGGCGGCCCCCUGGACAGAUACUGACACUCAGAUGCGAAAGCGUGGGGAGCAAACAGGAUUAGAUACCCUGGUAGUCCACGCCGUAAACGAUGUCUACUUGGAGGUUGUGGCCUUGAGCCGUGGCUUUCGGAGCUAACGCGUUAAGUAGACCGCCUGGGGAGUACGGUCGCAAGAUUAAAACUCAAAUGAAUUGACGGGGGCCCGCACAAGCGGUGGAGCAUGUGGUUUAA
rnacentral:rRNA from 1 species